rnacentral:tRNA from 1 species
GGAGAGAUGCCAGAGUGGUCGAAUGGGCCGGUUUCGAAAGCCGGAGUGGGGUUUUGCUCUACCUAGGGUUCGAAUCCCUAUCUCUCCG